AUACGGAGGAUCCGAGCGUUAUCCGGAUUUAUUGGGUUUAAAGGGAGCGUAGGCGGAUUAUUAAGUCAGUUGUGAAAGUUUGCGGCUCAACCGUAAAAUUGCAGUUGAUACUGGUAGUCUUGAGUGCAGCAGAGGUAGGCGGAAUUCGUGGUGUAGCGGUGAAAUGCUUAGAUAUCACGAAGAACUCCGAUUGCGAAGGCAGCGUACUGGACUGUAACUGACGCUGAUGAUCGAAAGUGUGGGUAUCAAACAGGAUUAGAUACCCUGGUAGUCCACACAGUAAACGAUGAAUACUCGCUGUUUGCGAUAUACAGCAAGCGGCCAAGCGAAAGCAUUAAGUAUUCCACCUGGGGAGUACGCCGGCAACGGUGAAACUCAAAUGAAUUGAUGGGG
rnacentral:rRNA from 1 species